rnacentral:rRNA from 1 species
UACGUAGGGUGCGAGCGUUAAUCGGAAUUACUGGGCGUAAAGCGUGCGCAGGCGGUGAUGUAAGACAGUUGUGAAAUCCCCGGGCUUAACCUGGGAACUGCAUUGGUGACUGGCAGGCUUUGAGUGUGGCAGAGGGAGGUAGAAUUCCACGUGUAGCAGUGAAAUGCGUAGAGAUGUGGAGGAAUACCGAUGGCGAAGGCAGCCUCCUGGGCCAACACUGACGCUCAUGCACGAAAGCGUGGGGAGCAAACAGG